GCGGGGGUUGCCUAGCCUGGCAAGGCGUUGGCUUGCUAAGCCAAUGUCCGCAAGGACACGUGGGUUCAAAUCCCACUCCCCGCGCCA
rnacentral:tRNA from 1 species